rnacentral:rRNA from 1 species
AACGAACGCUGGCGGCAUGCCUAACACAUGCAAGUCGAACGAGACCUUCGGGUCUAGUGGCGCACGGGUGCGUAACGCGUGGGAACCUGCCCUUAGGUUCGGAAUAACUCCCCGAAAGGGGUGCUAAUACCGGAUAAUGUCUUCGGACCAAAGAUUUAUCGCCUUUGGAUGGGCCCGCGUUGGAUUAGCUAGUUGGUAGGGUAAAAGCCUACCAAGGCGACGAUCCAUAGCUGGUCUGAGAGGAUGAUCAGCCACACUGGGGCUGAGACACGGCCCAGACUCCUACGCGAGGCAGCAGUGGGGAAUAUUGGACAAUGGGCGAAAGCCUGAUCCAGCAAUGCCGCGUGAGUGAUGAAGGCCUUAGGGUUGUAAAGCUCUUUUACCCGGGAUGAUAAUGACAGUACCGGGAGAAUAAGCUCCGGCUAACUCCGUG